UCAAUAAGCGGAGGAAAAGAAACCAACAGGGAUUACCUCAGUAACGGCGAGUGAAGCGGUAACAGCUCAAAUUUGAAAGCUAGCUCUUUUAGGGUUCGCAUUGUAAUUUGUAGAAGAUGCUUCGGGUGUGGCCCCGGUCUAAGUUCCUUGGAACAGGACGUCAUAGAGGGUGAGAAUCCCGUAUGUGACUGGGUGCUUUCGCUCAUGUGAAGCUCUUUCGACGAGUCGAGUUGUUUGGGAAUGCAGCUCAAAAUGGGUGGUAAAUUUCAUCUAAAGCUAAAUAUUGGCCAGAGACCGAUAGCGCACAAGUAGAGUGAUCGAAAGAUGAAAAGCACUUUGGAAAGAGAGUUAAACAGUACGUGAAAUUGUUGAAAGGGAAGCGCUUGCAACCAGACUUGCGCGCUGAUGAUCAUCCGGGCUUCUGCCCGGUGCACUCGUCUGCGCUCAGGCCAGCAUCGGUUUCGGUGGUGGGAUAAAGGCCUUGGGAAUGUAGCUUCUUUCGGGGAGUGUUAUAGCCCUCGGUGCAAUGCCGCCUACCGGGACCGAGGACCGCGCUUCGGCUAGGAUGCUGGCGUAAUGGUUGUAAGCGACCCGUCUUGAAACACGGACCAAGGAGUCUAACAUCUAUGCGAGUGUUUGGGUGUCAAACCCAUACGCGUAAUGAAAGUGAACGGAGGUGAGAACCCUUAAGGGUGCAUCAUCGACCGAUCCUGAUGUCUUCGGAUGGAUUUGAGUAAGAGCAUAGCUGUUGGGACCCGAAAGAUGGUGAACUAUGCGUGAAUAGGGUGAAGCCAGAGGAAACUCUGGUGGAGGCUCGCAGCGGUUCUGACGUGCAAAUCGAUCGUCAAAUUUGCGUAUAGGGCGAAAGACU
rnacentral:rRNA from 1 species